rnacentral:tRNA from 1 species
UCUUCGAUAGCUCAGUUGGUAGAGGGAGGACUGUAGGUUGAUAAUUUGUAGGCAUCCUUGCGUUCGCUGGUUCAAUUCUGGCUUCGAAGGA